CUGUAAAUGUCACUUCAGUAGUACAAACGCAGAUAUUUUAGUUAGUACAGUUUUCCAAUUUCAUCUGUGUAUUCAGCUACAGAUAAUUGAGUUUGUUUGCCUGUUGGUAAAUUAUUCAUUAACUCACUCCUGAAGUUUUUAGUUACAGAAAUCUAAAGUCUUGCUUUCUCUUGUUAAUGUAGAUAAGCUGAUAAUUUUGUCCUCUCAUCUUUGGCUUUGAACACAUGGUUCGUGUGGCUGAAAAUUCUUAAGGUCUCUUGAUUUUAAUUUGAAUAAGAAGAUAAGUGCAAUGAUUUAAUUAUUUCAAUAUGAAAUUUCUUGUGGUGGCUAUUAACUCUGCUUUUUUUCUUCUUCUUGGACUUUUUUUCCUGUAGGAUUUGUGUUUUCCAACUAAGCAGCUGACAGAUCUAUUGACCCAUAGAUUCCUACAAAGGCUAAAAUUUUCUUUGAAAUUUCUUCUCAUGGCCCUCUUGUUCGCAGUGGCACAGUCUUUGUGUAUACCCAUUGAUCUGUUUAUUCUGUUUUGUCUUGCCUGGUUAUGUUAUCCUGUGAAACUGUCUUAUAAGUGGAGUUAGUAAAUUAAAUUGCUGGUCAAAAUUUUCCAUUUGAACUGCCUGAAUGCUGCAUUCUGUUUAUAUCUGCAAUAUGUUGUUAUACAGAAACAACAUGAGUUUGAUGCAUGAAAUCCUUGUUGAGUUGUCUUCAAUAUGCUCCACUGAAAUUGACACUAUGUUACUGUAGCACAUUUGUCAAAAGUUGACCAGUAGUGUAUGUAAUGCUUAAUACUUAAGGCUUUGAUCAUAUUCUAUUAGCCAUGUGAGUUUCAAGUGUUUGUUUAUUGGAGAUGACUUUUGAUGCAUUAGAAUCCAUGUCGACUGCAAAUGUUAUAGAGAAUCUCUCUCUCUCUCUCUCUCUCUCUCUCUUUUUCUUGCUGACUCAUUGAAAGUGAUGGUUUGGUCUUUAUUCAGGUGACGAAGAUUGCGCUUUUGGCUAUUUGCUCAUCAAGUAAAGGCUAAGAAAUGUUGAAGGCGUGGACGACAUUGGAUAUUGACUCAAACAGAAAGGACAAGACAUGGUUUCCCAUAAAUAUCCAAGGAAAUAUCACAGGAGGAUUUAUCUAGUUUACACAUGUAGACGGAAAGAUCUGACAAUAUCAAUAAUUCAAUACAGUACUGCGCAAGGAGCAGAUAUUUUGUGAGCCAUCAAGAGAGGUUUCAAGAUUCUGCAAUGGGGAAAGCUGAGCCGAUACGGUUGUUGCCAAGUCGGUAACAUUUGACAUUGACAUUGUAUGGACCCAACUGUAUGUGGUUUUCUUCUCUGCCCAUGAAGAAACACAUCGUGUAUAGAGCCAACUCGAACUCUGGACUUACUCCAACUAGAGUACUUGAGACUGAUUUUAGAACACCGUUCCACUCGAAUUGGAUUGUUAGCAGCUGAGUCUCUGAAUCAGGCUGCGUAUGAAUCAAAAGUGUGAUUUCUAGGUUAGUCACCUGUUUUGAAGUACUUAUAUUUGAAGGACAAUUUAGCAUUGAAUGAAGCUAUGGUACUUACAAUUUCACCGCGACGUCGGGGAAAUAUAUAGCCUUGAUAAUCUACAGUUCCUUUGGCUUCCUCCAAGUAAAACUACGAUAAAAGAGAGCCCAAAUUUAAUAGUUCGUAAGUUUUACUGUUUUCAUCCGGGCUUUCCAGAGAUUUGAAUUCAUGGCGGGGAGGACAAAAAGUGUUUUACCUGAAGCCAGUUAUGGAAUCCGGAGACUUGCUCCCCACCAGAUUGUUUGAUCUCACCUACAAAGACAUGCUCAAACGCAGAAGAUGAGCCAGAGGUACCUCCGCGGCCAUAGAGAUCAAACCAGAGACUUGUCAACAUUCUCUUGAACUCCUGGUAGCUUCCAGGAGCAACGUCCUUGAGCACAAGGUACUUGUGGAGGUACUUGAUCACAGCGGUUCUGCUAAUUUCUUCAAUGAAAGCCGCUUGCUCUUGCCUCUCUUCUUCUGUGACUACUUCUUUGUAACCUUCGUUCGGGUUGUAGUUGUCAAGCAAUGAACAGAAUCUGGCGUAAGUCGGUUUUCUAAAGGCUUCGUUGCUCACCCAAGAGAAGAGUAGUCCUUCAGCCAUAUCAGCUCUCUCAUGGACCCUUUUCCCAUCUCCGCAGUCGAUUUGAUAAUCGUUUCCAGGAACAAGGCGGUUUGAAUCGAGCUCCCACAGUUUGUUGCAAGCUUCUGAGAGACCUGAGAGCUCUAGUUGUGAGGGUUGUAGGUUUCCAUAAGUUUCAACUUCGUCUGAGUAGUGUUGUUCGCUUGCUGGGCGUUUGUAAUCUUGCCAUUGCUCCUUCUGGACCUGCGGAGAAAGAGAGAUCACACAUAUCAAAUCAGUGAAAGGACGGGUAAAAUCAGCGGUUAGGGCUCCGUCUUGGUUUCAAAAUUUCAAACCUUAUGCGAUUGCCUAGCAGGUUUCUUUUUUCCCACAGUUUCCCAACCAUCAUUGUCCUCUUGCUGGCUCUCCUGCACAUGGAAUCAAAUGCCAACAUUAGAUACUUAGCAAACAUGCUAAACUGACAUUAGUUUUUUUAAGAGGAUCUAAUGUAAAGAGGAAAUGAAGUUAUAUCUCACCGAGAAGUCUUGUUUCUCGGCUACUUUAGCCGCAUAUGUAUCCUCUUCCUGGUCCUCCUGUGUGGGAAAAUCAAAAUGCCAAAUCUUUGAGGCUUGUUUUGCAGGUAAAGACUAAAGAGUAAAGAGCAUGAUCUAUUUUGAAUGAAAUAAAGAUAACAGACCCAAGUUUAAGAGA